GGACGAAUGGCGGAAUUGGUAGACGCGCCAGACUCAAAAUCUAGUAGCAGUAAUGCUGUGUGGGUUCGAUUCCCACUUCGUCCACCA
rnacentral:tRNA from 1 species